rnacentral:lncRNA from 1 species
AAGAACCUUUUGAAAGCACCUUCAUCCACCUACCUGGGUCUCUGCAUGGCCAUACCUCUGGUGAGAGACAUUAACUGGGUGUGCCUCUGACAGAUUGCUUUGCUCAUCGAGGUAUGAUUUCAGGGAAUAAAGUCAGUUGCUCUUCUAUGAAGUAGAAGUUAGCUGAAAUAAAAUUGAUAGCCUCGGCCUCCGUGGGCGGCUAAUCUAUAACAUAUUUGGUUCUGGGGGAGGGGUAUCUUUUAGUUGUGGUAGAGGAAGACAGAUGGAGUUCCUGUCUGAAUUUCAGAGCCUAGUCUCCCUGCCUCCACUGCUCAUUGCUGUCCAUCAUUCCUGUCCAUUGCAAACGUUCUCUAGAGCUUGCUGAUGUGGACGUUAAAAGGAGCUGAGAUACUGUUAAUAUAUAAAUAAAUUAUCUUUGGUUGAAAAGCAAGUAUUGACUGAUGUAAAUAAACCAUUUUAGCGUUUUAAAAUAUUGCUGUUUCAGAGAAUUCAAAGGUGAAAAUGGAAAAAAAUGAGUGAAAAAUUAGCAAAAGUGGAGGAGAGGUGUAACAAGUUGGGCUUUAACACAGAGUAAUCAAUAACCCAGG